rnacentral:piRNA from 1 species
UAAAGCACGCAGGAGUUUCUGGGUUCA